UAGCAAGAACGGUCAUCACCCUUUUCCCUUACAGCAGUUGGAGGUCCCUAAUAUUAGAGGAAAAAUUACAGUCAACAUAGAUGUUUGCCAAUAUGUCUAGCUCAGGAAGAUGUACCUGGGAAACUACUCCCAAGAUCACCCUGGGUGAUCUCCCAUAAAGAGACACUUGCUUCCACAACCCAACUUAUAAGUGGGACAACUCCCCAUUCACCAAAAAUUGUGCUUCUCGGUUCCCACUUCGAACUCCUUGCCUCUAUCUCCAAACUGUCAAUAACUCUGAACUAUG
rnacentral:lncRNA from 1 species